GACGAACGCUGGCGGCGUGCUUAACACAUGCAAGUCGAGCGGUAAGGCCCUUUCGGGGGUACACGAGCGGCGAACGGGUGAGUAACACGUGGGUGACCUGCCCUUAGCUCUGGGAUAAGCCUGGGAAACUGGGUCUAAUACCGGAUAUGACCUCAUGACUCAUGUUGUGGGGUGGAAAGCCUUGUGCGGCUAGGGAUGGGCCCGCGGCCUAUCAGCUUGUUGGUGGGGUAAUUGCCUACCGAGGCGACGACGGGUAGCCGGCCUGAGAGGGCGACCGGCCACACUGGGACUGAGACACGGCCCAGACUCCUACGGGAGGCAGCAGUGGGGAAUAUUGCGCAAUGGGCGAAAGCCUGACGCAGCGACGCCGCGUGA
rnacentral:rRNA from 1 species